ensembl:lncRNA
AAGGGGAAAAUAUGCAUUUGAAAACCAAAACCUGUUUUCUUUCUGCUUAAACACAAUAAAUACCUGAAAACAUUGAAGUCAAAAUUUUGCUUCUCAGAUAUACAAAUGGCCCCCCAUAAAAAUAAAGUCUUGAACUUUGUGAAUUCUCCGCGUAACUUUUAACCCGUUUCGCCUCCUUUGAUUGUUUGUGACACAAAAUCUUUAAGAUCAUGAACAGUUUAGGUCAGGGCUGCUCAUUCCUGGUCCUCAAGAUCUACCACCCUGCCUGUUUUCCAGCUCUCCCUGUACUGCUUGCUGCUGAUUACCUGGACCAGGUGUGUCCUUUCAAUCAGAUUGUGGAGACAUCUGACUGAGCCAAUCAGCAGGUGGCAGGGCUUGGAGAUCUGGAAAAUAGUCAGGGUGGUAGAUCUCGAGGACCAGGAAUGAGCAGCCCUGGUUUAGGUGAAACUAUUAAAACUUUUGCAUCAACUCUGGAGAACUUUCUGGGCCUUCGGACACUCCGGUGCACUUUUGGAUGUAUUUUCCUUUAAUAGCUUUAAUUCUUUAGUACGACGGAGUAUUAGGGUCACCGAAAAAAAAAAAAAAAAGUAAUAUUACAAGUUUUUUUCUCGUAGAUAUACGACUUUAAAUCUCGUAAAUGUAUGAGUUUUAAUCUCGUAGAUUUACGACUUUUUUCUCGUAACGUAUUAAAAUCGAGGGGAGUCUACAUUCCAGCGAAUUUAUGCCGUGAACUGAAGCAGACCAACCAAACUGUGAAAAGCGUCUUGGAUUUCAUCAGGAUCUCUGCAGAUCCCGUUUAUGAAGCGGUCCACAUCCUCCAGCUGUCCACUUCAGUCAUUUCUUCCUCUGACAGACCAGAUCUCCUCCAACUCUGUGAUGCUUCCGUCUGAAGAGGACCAGUUUUUGGAAUUUUCAAUGUUCUUGUGCUAACGUUGUCAUUUCUCAAUGUUGUUUUGUGUCGAGACGGGACGUUUCAUUUGGGGAAGGAGGCGUCCGGAGCUCUGUUUACAUUCUCUUUUGGUUUCUGAGCAUGACAGAGACAUGAUGUAAGGUGGAGAAAGGAAAUGAAAGAUGUAAUAAAGUGACGAUCCUGAUGAACGUGUAUCUCUGAGCUCUUUAUUUUACAUAUGAAACUCAGCACUGUUGUGUAUUGAAGUUAGCUGUUUAAGAACUGCAUUACCCAGAAGGCCAAGCGACUGGUCACAUGUUCGGUGCACGGCAAGUGGUAAGCUAGCAGAUGAGCGCUAGUCAUGCACAGUGUAGCAGUAUGAAGAGACUGUUAAUAAAAAGUCUGUUUAACACAAUAAUAGCGCCUCUUUAGCUUAAAUGAAGAUAAGCAAGACAACACACGCACUACCGAACCCGGAAAUAAUUUGAUUUUGAAUCGCCAAAAGGUUCAGAAUUUCUUUGCUUUUAACAUCAAUCUGGACAUAAUCUACACCAGAUUCUCCACGUCUUUCAUCUUCAAGCACGGCUCUGAUAAACAGACAACUUUGGUUCUUUUCUCAUUAAAUUACGACUUUUAAUCUCGUAGAUUUACGACUUUAAAUCCCGUAGAUUUACACGUUUUUUUCUCAUAAAUUUACGACUUUAAAAGUUGUAAAUUUAACCUAUGACUUUUAAAGUCAUAAAUAUACGACUUUAUUCUCAUAAUUUAGCAGUUACGACUUUUUUCUCGUAAAUUUACGAGAUUUAAAGUCGUAUAUCUACGAGAAAAAAACUUGUAAUAUUACUUUUUUUUUUUUUCGGUGACCCUAAUACUCCGUCGUACUUUAGAACGUUUUAGAUCAAAUUGAUUUAAAUUGAAAACUAUCUUGUCUUAUU